AUUGAACGCUAGCGGGAUGCCUAACACAUGCAAGUCGAACGGAGUUGCCAACGGGUGAGUGAUGUACCGGUACGUGCCCAGUAGCGGGGAUAAGUAUGCCAACGGGUAACCAAAACCACUUACGGUUUUAGCGGCCGUUAUCGGAUUAGCUAGUUGGUGGGGUAACGGCUCACCAAGGCGACGAUCCGUAGCCGUGUUGAGAGGACGAUCAGCCACACUGGGACUGAGACACGGCCCAGACUCCUACGGGAGGCAGCAGUGGGGAAUUUUGGACAAUGGGGGAAACCCUGAGCCAGCAACCCCGCGUGUGGGAUGAAGGCCUUCGGGUUGUAAAGCACUUUUGGCAGGGAAGCGGUACCUGCAGAAGAAGCACCGGCUAACUCCGUGCCAGCAGCCGCGGUAAUAC
rnacentral:rRNA from 1 species